AACGUAGGAGACAAACGUUAUCCGGAGUUACUGGGCGUAAAGGGCGUGUAGGCGGUUUGUUAAGUCUGGCGUGAAAGCUCUCGGCUAAACCGGGAGAGGUCGUUGGAUACUGGCAAACUAGAGGACGGUACAGGCGUGUGGAAUUCCGGGUGUAGUGGUGAAAUGCGUAGAGAUCCGGAGGAACACCAGUGGCGAAGGCGACACGCUGGGCCGUACCUGACGCUAAAGCGCGACAGCAUGGGGAGCAAACGGG
rnacentral:rRNA from 1 species